rnacentral:misc_RNA from 1 species
UCCGGUUUGGCACCGGCAGUCUCUCUAGAGUUCCCGGCAUUACCCGCUGGCAACUAGGGAUAGGGGUUGCGCUCGUUGCGCCACUUAAGGCAACACCUCACGACACGAGCUGACGACAGCCAUGCAGCACCUGUGCAGGUGCUCCGAAGGAGGACCGUAUUUCUACGGUUUUCCAGUGCAUGUCAAGCCCUGGUAAGGUUCUUCGCGUCGCAUCGAAUUAAACCACAUGCUCCGCUGCUUGUGCGGGCCCCCGUCAAUUCCUUUGAGUUUUAGCCUUGCGGCCGUACUCCCCAGGCGGGGCGCUUAAUGCGUUAGCUUCGGCACGGACGGAGUUGACACCGCCCACACCUAGCGCCCAUCGUUUACGGCGUGGACUAC